UACGAAGGGGGCUAGCGUUGCUCGGAAUCACUGGGCGUAAAGCGCACGUAGGCGGACUCUUAAGUCAGGGGUGAAAUCCUGGAGCUCAACUCCAGAACUGCCUUUGAUACUGGGAGUCUUGAGUUCGGGAGAGGUGAGUGGAACUGCGAGUGUAGAGGUGAAAUUCGUAGAUAUUCGCAAGAACACCAGUGGCGAAGGCGGACUCACUGGCCCGAGUACUGACGCUGAGGUGCGAAAGCGUGGGGAG
rnacentral:rRNA from 1 species